AUUGAACGCUGGCGGCAUGCCUUACACAUGCAAGUCGAACGGCAGCGCGGGAGCAAUCCUGGCGGCGAGUGGCGAACGGGUGAGUAAUAUAUCGGAACGUGCCCAGUAGUGGGGGAUAGCCCGGCGAAAGCCGGAUUAAUACCGCAUACGACCUACGGGUGAAAGGGGGGGAUCGCAAGACCUCUCGCUAUUGGAGCGGCCGAUAUCAGAUUAGGUAGUUGGUGGGGUAAAGGCCUACCAAGCCUGCGAUCUGUAGUUGGUCUGAGAGGGCGGACGGCCACACUGGGACUGAGACACGGCCCAGACUCCUACGGGAGGCAGCAGUGGGGAAUUGUUCGCAAUGGGCGCAAGCCUGACGACGCAACGCCGCGUGGAGGAUGAAGAUCUUCGGGUCGUAAACUCCUUUCGAUCGAGACGAAUUCCUUCCGGGUGAAUAAUCCGGGAGGUUGACGGUACCGAGAGAAGAAGCCCCGGCUAACUCCGUGCCAGCCGCCGCUGUAAUAC
rnacentral:rRNA from 1 species